rnacentral:rRNA from 1 species
CCUACGGGGGGCAGCAGUGAGGAAUAUUGGUCAAUGGACGAGAGUCUGAACCAGCCAAGUAGCGUGAAGGAUGACUGCCCUAUGGGUUGUAAACUUCUUUUAUAAAGGAAUAAAACGAGGCACGUGUGCCCUUUUGCAUGUACUUUAUGAAUAAGGAUCGGCUAACUCCGCGCCAGCAGCCGCGGUAAUACGGAGGAUCCGAGCGUUAUCCGGAUUUAUUGGGUUUAAAGGGAGCGUAGAUGGGUUGUUAAGUCAGUUGUGAAAGUUUGCGGCUCAACCGUAAAAUUGCAAUUGAUACUGGCAGUCUUGAGUGCAGUUGAGGUAGGCGGAAUUCGUGGUGUAGCGGUGAAAUGCUUAGAUAUCACGAAGAACCCCGAUUGCGAAGGCAGCUUACUAAACUGUAACUGACAUUGAUGCUCGAAAGUGUGGGUAUCAAACAGGAUUAGAUACCCGAGUAGUC